GUGUCAGCCGCCGCGGUAAUACGAAGGGGGCUAGCGUUGUUCGGAAUCACUGGGCGUAAAGCGCACGUAGGCGGAUCUUUAAGUCAGGGGUGAAAUCCCGAGGCUCAACCUCGGAACUGCCUUUGAUACUGGAGGUCUCGAGUCCGGGAGAGGUGAGUGGAACUGCGAGUGUAGAGGUGAAAUUCGUAGAUAUUCGCAAGAACACCAGUGGCGAAGGCGGCUCACUGGCCCGGUACUGACGCUGAGGUGCGAAAGCGUGGGGAGCAAACAGGAUUAGAUACCCCCGUAGUCC
rnacentral:rRNA from 1 species